ACUGUUGCCUCGGCGGGAUCUCUGCCCCGGGUGCGUCGCAGCCCCGGACCAAGGCGCCCGCCGGAGGACCAACCAAAACUCUUAUUGUAUACCCCCUCGCGGGUUUUUUUAUAAUCUGAGCCUUCUCGGCGCCUCUCGUAGGCGUUUCGAAAAUGAAUCAAAACUUUCAACAACGGAUCUCUUGGUUCUGGCAUCGAUGAAGAACGCAGCGAAAUGCGAUAAGUAAUGUGAAUUGCAGAAUUCAGUGAAUCAUCGAAUCUUUGAACGCACAUUGCGCCCGCCAGUAUUCUGGCGGGCAUGCCUGUCCGAGCGUCAUUUCAACCCUCGAACCCCUCCGGGGGGUCGGCGUUGGGGAUCGGCCCUGCCUUGGCGGUGGCCGUCUCCGAAAUACAGUGGCGGUCUCGCCGCAGCCUCUCCUGCGCAGUAGUUUGCACACUCGCAUCGGGAGCGCGGCGCGUCCACAGCCGUUAAACACCCAACUUCUGAAAUGUUGACCUCGGAUCAGGUAGGAAUACCCGCUGA
rnacentral:rRNA from 1 species